UGUUUAAAUUAUCUCGUGAUAAGCACGAUACUUCGGGAGCUACCAGAAAUUUAGAGAAGGAAUUAGUUAAUGGCGCCUUUUAUAACGAUUAAGAGCGAUUAAGAACUGUAUUUCAUCUGUUCGAGAUGGCGAUGUAAGGUCAAAGUAACCAGGAGUGCCAGCCACCAUUCAUGUGGGUCUUGCUACCAUCACUUGGAAACUCUUGGAGAGCCCGAAAUCUGCAAGUUUGGUUUGGAAAUUGCCUGUCAGCAAGAUGUUCGUUGUUUUGUCUGUGGACUGUGGGUGGGUUACAACCAUUAUGCAGUUGACUUGGACUUGGCCAUCUUUUUGAAUACCAACAGCUGACAAGAGAAUUUCAACCCAACCAUCUGCAUCCUGCUGACCAUAGCAGAGGUGUGCCAGCGACAACUGUGGACAUGUGGGUGUUGCCAUCUAUGGGAAAGCUUUUGGAGAGACCGAAAUCGGCAAGUUUGCCUUGGAAAUUAUCUGUCAACAAGAUGUUUGUUGUUUUCACAUCUCUGUGAACUAUUGGUGGCUUACAACCGUAAUGCAGGAAGUCAACAAUAUAGGGAUUCUCUUAACACAGCUUGGUCAAUAUCCACUGCUGGUCUCUGUGACAUGCAAGGCACGUUACAUAGGCAAGUUGACAAGGUACUAUAAUAACUUACCAUCAAUCAUAUGUAUAGUUUAAUUAAUUUAAGAAUUGAAACUGGUACCCUUUCGUUUAUCAACGAGUUUUGGGUUGUUUUGUAAGCCUAGUUUUGCAGAAUAGUUUGAAACUUGUACUAAAUUAUAUAUCAUGACAAUCAUAUUAUACAGAGAUGAAGCUUAAUUUCUUCAUUAUGAGCUGCUAAGUAGGAAAGGUUAGAGAGGGCCUCCAUUUCCAUUGAUUUUGACAUUUUUUUUAUGGGAAAUAUCAGGGAAAAAGACAGACAGACCAAGUCCAACAAUUUAUGGCCGACUGGAGUGCAAGUUGAAUCAAGUUCUAUGGAUUGAAACUAUCUCCAUGUUUCUCCAAAUGAAUGCCAUUCCACCAUUGGAGGCAACUCAAUUGGUAUAGGAAUUGAAGGUAC